UGUGCUGCCGCAGCAAAGGGCAAAGGAGGCAGCGAGAUGCUGUAGUUAGUCUGAGCGUUGCUGCCAGGCUGCAACAAGAGGAAGGGAGAUGCUGGCCCCGAGCAGGCGAAAACAAGAGAGGAGCAAGGCAGGAAGCAGAAGAGCAAACCUAUCUCAUGAGGGAAACAGCAAAACUUCAAACACAGGUUUAAGCACAACAUACGAAGGAGGGAGAGAAAUCCCAAGCAGAGGAAAGGGGAAGAGUGGCUCGGAGAAAAGCAAAACCAGCCCACAAAGGAGACAGCCAAAACACCACCCCGCAAAGGAGACAGCCAACCUACCACCACAAAGGGGAUCAGCCAAAGGCUUCUGCCUUUCCUGGGGCAGCUUAAAAAGGGGAGUGGGCAGGGCUGGUGAAGUGGCCCCAGCUGGGGUGGGAGGAGACUGCAACAGAGCCCAGGUGCUGUGGGAUUAGGGGAGGGGAAGGGGGGAACAUGGUGCAGGUGGGGUGGAAAAGGAAGGAUGUGGAGAGGAAGAUGAUGGGGAUGUCUCUGGCACAAUGACAUCUGCCAGAUGUGAAGCUGCAUUUCACACCAGUGCUCCAUCACUGCUCAUGGGCAGUGCCCACUGUACAAGCACUCACAGGGGGCUGCUUUCCCCUCCCCCCCUUUUUGUCUUUCCCUAACCUAUGCCAACACAGCACUCAGGCGUUCAGUCUGCAGAUCCAAAGGAAAGAUCAGGCUGGAGAACCCAUUCCAGAGGUUCCGUGGGACACUGAGGAAAGGGCACUGGGGAGAACUGGGACUGAUUUUACAACUGGCUGCCUGGAAAAACACCCUUUGAAGAGUGAAGCUUUUUCUUCUCCAGGACUAGAACAAGGGGGCACAGCCUCAAGCUGUGCCAGGGCAGGUCUAGGCUGGAUGUUAGGAGGAAGUUGUUGGCAGAGAGAGUGAUUGCCAUUGGAAUGGGCUGCCCAGGGAGGUGGUGGAGUCACCGUGCCUGGAGGUGUUGAAGCCAAGCCUGGCUGGGGCACUUAGUGCCAUGGUCUGGUUGGUUGGCCAGGGCUGGGUGCUAGGUUGGCCUGGAUGAGCUUGGAGCUUGCUUCCAACCUGCUUGAUUCCAUGAUUCUAAGAAGAUCUCCCAUGUCCCACCCUAGCUGGAAAACAUCUCCCGUGUGCCAGUCUGGUUGGAUGCUCUCUCCAUGAGGCUUUGGGGUUUGAUUUGUUUGAUUUCCCACCUGGCUUUUAGCCAAAGCUCUUCCUGGCCAGAUUUGGUGGUGUUUUUUUGUUUUUCACUCCUCCUCCCACCCCCACAGCACCUGAGGUCAAUUGAAGUCUCCUCCCACCCCAGCUGUGGCCACUUUGCCCUCCCUGCUCACUGCCCUUUAUAAGCAGUGCAGGAGGAGCCCAGCCCCAAGCUGGGCCCAUUGUGGGCCAAGGGAUCCUCUGCCUGGCAUCCCAGGAGGUUGGAUCCUCGAAGGUUUUGCUCUAGGUUCUGCGAUGGAUGCAAAGAUGGAGCAGGAGCACCAACUGGAGCUGGUAACAGACCAGGAUCCUCCGGAGCUUUGCUCUAGGUUCUGCGAUGGCUGCGAACGUGGACCAGGAGCACGAACUGGAGCUGACUCUGAGCAGCCUGGACUACUUGAGGAUGCCCCUGCUGACUGUGGGGGUGAUUGGACUAGAUGAACUUUGGAGGUUCCUUCCAGCCUGGACCAUUCUAUGCCUUUUCUGGUGAAUUACAUCAGAUUCUCUUGGAGUGACACUUGGCAUGGGGCAAAGUAUCUAUUGUAAUCUCAUUUAAUAAACUGUUCAACCACUUAA